UCUCCGUUGCCGGAGCAGUCCCCAAAGACACUUGUAACUUUGAGUAGGGGUUGCGCUCGUUAUCCCACUUAAGGGAACACUUCACAGCACGAGCUGACAACAGCCAUGCAACACCUGUCAUCCCAUUCCAGUAAACUGGCACAGUCUUGUUUCCAAAACUUUCGGGAGAUGUCAAGCCCUGGUAAGGUUCUUCGCGUACCGUCGAAUUAAACCACAUGUUCCACCGCUUGUGCGGGCCCCCGCCUAUUCCUUUGAGUUUUAAUCUUGCGAUCGUACUACUCAGGCGGCUCGCUUAACGCGUUAGCUUCGCUUCUAAAAGGGUCGAUACUCAUAAAAGCUAGCGAGCAUAGUUUACGGCGUGGACUAC
rnacentral:misc_RNA from 1 species